rnacentral:lncRNA from 1 species
UUUGUCAGCUUCCUGACAAUGACACUUACAGUUAUCUUUCCUAUAUUUUACGGAUUAUUCAAAAUGUUUCGGUUACAAUUAAGAUGACGGCAUUCAUAUGUUACAUCUGACGGCGAGAAAUUCAGAAAAACAAACCAAAAAAGCUGAUAAAUGAAGCAGUUCGGUUCAGAAGAUGGAAAUGGAUAUCUGCUUAGGAAAGAAAAAUUGCAGUAAUUGUAUGACAGCAUUGACGUGGAAACCAUAAGGUACUCAGAACAACAGAAGAAGGGAGAUCAAUGAACGAAUAUAAGAUCAGAGCACGGAAGUGGACAUACGUUUAGAAGGGAAAAUGACAAUAAUUGUCUGACACCAUUGACGUGAAAACGAGAAGGGUGAAGGAACAUGCAACGUCGAAGAAGUACAUGGAAAAAACUGUAGAGAAAAAAAAUCGUUGUAGAUCUUGAAACAAAGCCAAACAUGUAGCCAGAUCAAACAGAAGAGUGUAGAAAUGUACUACAGUGUAAUGGACAACGCAGCCGAAGACGAUAGGUAAGACGUCCUAAUUAAGUCCAGUUUCUUAGCAAUAAUACUUGCAUGGCGUAUAAAGAAGGUCAUCCAAAUUUUAGUGCUUUUCUUGUGCGUUAAAAUAUUGAAUUCACAGAUAUAAUUUUUUCCCAUGCAAGUUACACCAAAUACAAGCCGAAUCGAAACCACCAGUCGGGGCUAGACUGCACUUCCAUGGGAUUCAAAGGACAAAGCGAUUUUCGCUAUGUUGGACGAAGUUUGCAUUGGAAACAAGCAAAAUCCUUUGUCAAAAUCAUCAACGUGGCGACGGUGACGUAACUUGCUCAUCACCUAUUGUUAAAAAAUGCCCAAUAGGUGAUGUGCAACCACUCCAAUGGGAUUCAAAGGACAAAAGUUUUCGCCAUGUUGGAUGAUAUUUGCAUUGCAAACAAGCGAAAUCCUUUGUUAAUGUCAUCUAACAUGGCGACGGUGACGUAACUUGCACACCACCUAUUGUUUUCCUGUUGUGCGAGUUCCCAAUUUUGAUACACACCUCUUUGUCUUAUUUUACAGAUGGCUUGUGGAUGGUUUCCAGGUUCGAAAGAGGGUUUUCUUGAUUGAGGACUUUCACAAAUGAAAGAAAUAUGGCAUUUUCUUUAAAAAUUUUUUUUCAAUUUCAUGACUUCUUUUUUAGCCAAAAGAACUAAACAGUCUUUCGUCUGUGUGGCUUUAUCCAGCUCUUUGGUCUUUGUCGUUUCAUGAAAUUUUGCGAUUUCAGCACAAAUGUGUUUAAAAACUAUACGUUUUUGAAGCUUAACUUUUUAAAGACUUUGAG